rnacentral:rRNA from 1 species
AGUGAACGCUGGCGGUAGGCCUAACACAUGCAAGUCGAACGGCAGCACAGUAAGAGCUUGCUCUUACGGGUGGCGAGUGGCGGACGGGUGAGGAAUACAUCGGAAUCUACUUUUUCGUGGGGGAUAACGUAGGGAAACUUACGCUAAUACCGCAUACGACCUACGGGUGAAAGCAGGGGAUCUUCGGACCUUGCGCGAUUGAAUGAGCCGAUGUCGGAUUAGCUAGUUGGCGGGGUAAAGGCCCACCAAGGCGACGAUCCGUAGCUGGUCUGAGAGGAUGAUCAGCCACACUGGAACUGAGACACGGUCCAGACUCCUACGGGAGGCAGCAGUGGGGAAUAUUGGACAAUGGGCGCAAGCCUGUUCCAGCCAUACCGCGUGGGUGAAGAAGGCCUUCGGGUUGUAAAGCCCCUUUGUUGGGAAAGAAAAGCAGCAGGUUAAUACCCCGCUGUUCUGACGGUACCCAAAGAAUAAGCACCGGCUAACUUCGUG